rnacentral:lncRNA from 1 species
CGGGGUUUCACCGUGUUAGCCAGGAUGGUCUCGAUCUCCUGACCUCGUGAUCCGCCCGUCUCGGCCUCCCAAAGUGCUGGGAUUACAGGCUUGAGCCACCGCGCCCGGCCGGUCUAGCAUGUUUGUCUAUACUCAUGUGAGGAGCAGGAGUGAAACAGUGGCAAUUCUCAUUGGUAUCUCAUAAAUUUAUAUUGAAUUGUUCAGACUGCUUUGAAAAUGCUCCAUGCCAUAAAUCACAGAGCAUUCUACUAUCACUAGAAUCUAUGAUUAUAAACAAAGAGCUUUUGGAAUUUUGGAAUUUAAAAAUUCUGAAUAGUUUCUUUGUCUUGAAGGAAAGUAAAAAGAACAAACUUGUUUUAAACAAAAUCAGAUGCUCCAAAUGGUCAGUUGAUAAUGCUACCAAUCAAAGAAAACUAAGGGGGAAGAAAAAGAAAAGAGGAAAGAGAGGAGGCAACAGGAAAAUCAGCCUUCUUCCUUCAGUCUAUGGUGAGGAUCUGAAGCUCAGAGGAAUGAUGUUAGAUGCUCAAGGCCACAUAGAUGGCAAGCUGGACAGAUGGUCACUUCGGGAAAAUAAGUAGUAGUAUACUGUGUGUACUGCAGGGGUGGAGUAAAUGUGAAAGCCUGGGAGUAUUUCCUUCUAAUAAUAUUCUCAAUGAAAUUUUAAACUUGAAGUUUUCUCUAACGGAUCUGAACAAAAGGACUUCAUCAGGUAGGUCACAAAGCUGCUAAACAUUGGGAAUCAGACCAUAAUGAUGCUCCAAAUUAGCUUCCCCAAGGAGGAGACUCUGGCCACAGCCUUUG